UUUGAAGUCAAGCAUGCAAUAAACAACUUCACAAGUGGAUGGUGAGAAGUUUCUUGGUACAAUUAUAAACCAUCCAGUGGAUCAGAUUUCAUUGUCCAUGGAUAUCAGUGUCAAGAGCAGGUGCAGCCUCCUUUCUCCUCCGAUUCGGAGAUGGAAACCGACCCGGCGCCUUCAGGAGGAGGUCGGCUGCUGCACCGCGCGUCCUCCGCAGAGUGAAGUCUUUUCCUUGGAGUUACCGGAGACUCUCCACUCGGACAUCCCUCCACCUUCGACAUAAAGAGGGAGUUUGGUUAAUUUCGCUAAUAGUGAUGACCAGAUCUCCCACUCGAUUUGCUGGUGCGUCGCUGUCAGAUCCCCCACAAGAAGAUGCACAAUGACAAUCCUGGCCAUUACCCCUAACGACAGAUCCCCUGUAAUGUUCCUGUAAUAUUCAUGUAGAGACUGACACUGUGUCUGUGGCACGCUGUAAUGACCUCAUCAUAGCUUACUUUAUGGUAUUUCUUUCUCCUAUAGGCUAUCCCACACCACAUGCACUACAGUAUAUGAGCUGUUGCUGUAGAAUUAUUCUUGACAAGUGAAUUUCAAAUAGGAGACACUUGAUUUCUGAUUAACUUGCUGUGAUGAUGAAGCUCAACUGUACCGAAAGGGUUUUUAUGGACCUGUUAAAUGAAACAUGAUUCGACUUUGAUUGAUUUUAAAAUGGUCUGCUUUAUUGCAGGCUCUAUCAAAAUGAAAUCAAUCAAAUUUUGCUUUGA